rnacentral:lncRNA from 1 species
CACAAUUUUUCUAGUUCCACCUUAUACUCACAUUUUCAUCCAAACAACAAAUUACUCUUGUUCUUACAAAAAUUCAUACUUAUGCAUAUCCCCGGUAUACUAGUUCUUACUUAUAUCCGAACCAAACGAAGCCUUCGAGUUUCAUUUUUUAUAUCCAUAAUCAAAAUAAUUGCCGUUUAGCACCGAUUAAACAUGCCUUUAUUCG